rnacentral:sRNA from 1 species
UCCAAUAUUGUGCUGGAACAUGUCGUUCCC